rnacentral:rRNA from 1 species
GACGAACGCUGGCGGCGUGCUUAGCACAUGCAAGUCGAACGGAAAGGCCCUGCUUUUGUGGGGUGCUCGAGUGGCGAAUGGGUGAGUAACACGUGAGUAACCUGCCCUUGACUUUGGGAUAACUUCAGGAAACUGGGGCUAAUACCGGAUAGGAGCUCCUGCUGCAUGGUGGGGGUUGGAAAGUUUCGGCGGUUGGGGAUGGACUCGCGGCUUAUCAGCUUGUUGGUGGGGUAGUGGCUUACCAAGGCUUUGACGGGUAGCCGGCCUGAGAGGGUGACCGGCCACAUUGGGACUGAGAUACGGCCCAGACUCCUACGGGAGGCAGCAGUGGGGAAUAUUGCACAAUGGGCGGAAGCCUGAUGCAGCAACGCCGCGUGCGGGAUGACGGCCUUCGGGUUGUAAACCGCUUUCGCCUGUGACGAAGCGUGAGUGACGGUAAUGGGUAAAGAAGCACCGGCUAACUACGUGCCAGCAGCCGCGGUGAUACGUAGGGUGCGAGCGUUGUCCGGAUUUGUUGGGCGUAAAGGGCUCGUAGGUGGUUGAUCGCGUCGGAAGUGUAAUCUUGGGGCUUAACCCUGAGCGUGCUUUCGAUACGGGUUGACUUGAGGAAGGUAGGGGAGAAUGGAAUUCCUGGUGGAGCGGUGGAAUGCGCAGAUAUCAGGAGGAACACCAGUGGCGAAGGCGGUUCUCUGGGCCUUUCCUGACGCUGAGGAGCGAAAGCGUGGGGAGCGAACAGGCUUAGAUACCCUGGUAGUCCACGCUGUAAACGGUGGGUACUAGGUGUGGGGUCCAUUCCACGGGUUCCGUGCCGUAGCUAACGCUUUAAGUACCCCGCCUGGGGAGUACGGCCGCAAGGCUAAAACUCAAAGGAAUUGACGGGGCCCCGCACAAGCGGCGGAGCAUGCGGAUUAAUUCGAUGCAACGCGUAGAACCUUACCUGGGUUUGACAUGGAUCGGGAGUGCUCAGAGAUGGGUGUGCCUCUUUUGGGGUCGGUUCACAGGUGGUGCAUGGCUGUCGUCAGCUCGUGUCGUGAGAUGUUGGGUUAAGUCCCGCAACGAGCGCAACCCUUGUUCACUGUUGCCAGCACGUUAUGGUGGGGACUCAGUGGAGACCGCCGGGGUCAACUCGGAGGAAGGUGGGGAUGACGUCAAGUCAUCAUGCCCCUUAUGUCCAGGGCUUCACGCAUGCUACAAUGGCUGGUACAGAGAGUGGCGAGCCUGUGAGGGUGAGCGAAUCUCGGAAAGCCGGUCUCAGUUCGGAUUGGGGUCUGCAACUCGACCUCAUGAAGUCGGAGUCGCUAGUAAUCGCAGAUCAGCAACGCUGCGGUGAAUACGUUCCCGGG